CCCAGCUCAGUUCCUCAUUUUAUAAGUAAUGUUUAAGAGCAAUGACCCACUCCUACUUUCAGCAAAGAGGUGCACAUAGCAUAGACCCAUAGAAGAGGAAGGAUCUGAGAAGGAGUUUGAAAAAAGUGUAGGAGAGGCUGCGAGAAAACAAGGCAGGUGUCCUGGCUGAGGGCAGGAAGGAGACAUUGCGAUGGAAAUUGUGCCCCAUUUUCUUGGAGGAUUGGGAAGAGGACCUGUGGACUGGGCGGCCCACACAACUGCUGUAACCUCAGGCAGUUUUCAAGCAGAUUGACCUUCCUGCUGGAACACGGCACAUGAGGGUUGCUUGGCCUUGCCUCCACCAUGCCUGACACUGGCGCUCUGCUGGGAGGAAAAAGCUUGCUCUGUUGCUGGCUGUGUGGAACAGAGAGGGAAGUGGCAGACAGUCUGGGCCCAGCACUUGGGUAUCGUGCUCUAGCCAUGCGACUCAUCUCUCCAGUUCAGACCUGCCCCUGGAAAAAAGAGCCCAGACCUCAUCAUGAAUGCUUUCCUAGGAGAAAAUGAACAGCUGGACAAUGCUCCUGGUCAGUAGGCCUGAAGGAUGCUGGGAUGCAGCCCUCAAGAUGGAACAGCCAGGAUGCCAAGUAUCCCUCUUGCCCAGAUCCUAAGGCACUUUUUCUACUGAUC
rnacentral:lncRNA from 1 species